GUCGCGUCACGUCGCCAUUGGCGCUAGCGCUGAGGAGACCACGCAGGGAGGAGAGACGCGCGACGGAGAGAGAGCGGGAUCUGAAGCCGAGCUGAGGUCCAACCACCGUGUCGGAACCCUUUUCGUGUCGCCAGCAUCGCCCUCACCGUGAAGCCGUCGCCGCCGCUACUGUACCCGCGUCGUCGUCGUCCUCGUCAUGGAUUCGGUUGCCGCCACUUAUAGAGGAGCCAGAGAGAGCGAGAGAGAGCAAGCUCGGGAGCAGAUGAGAGAAAAGAGAGACCCGUGCCAGCCACCGCCGCUUCUGCCGCUCGAAAUCCUGCUGCCACCGCCGGAGAACGCACUGUCGUCACCCGCCUCCGCUGCUUGUUGUUCUGAACUGCUGCACCAUCGUUGCCACCGUUCUGGUCACCGGGUUUGGCGUGGGUGAUCAUCGGAACCACCAUCGGAGUUACCGUUAUUUCAGUUCAGCCAUUCGUCCUUGUUUGGGAUUGAGUUACGGGUCUUGAUUGCUGAGUUCUAUGGCUGCUGCAUACAGCAUCAAGGUGCUGCGUCGUCACUGGAACUAUUGUUGCUCCAUUUUCUUGAUUAUUCGUAAGCCCAGUAAGUUGUUCCUUGUUCCAAACUCUUUUAGUUGCUGUUAUGUUAUAGAUUAUUGAGUUUUACGUGACAUUAAU